rnacentral:rRNA from 1 species
GGUUAAGCGACUAAGCGUACACGGUGGAUGCCCUGGCAGUCAGAGGCGAUGAAGGGCGUGCUAAUCUGCGAUAAGCGCCGGUAAGGUGAUAUGAACCGUUAUAACCGGCGAUACCCGAAUGGGGAAACCCAGUGUGACUCGUCACACUAUCAUUAACUGAAUCCAUAGGUUAAUGAGGCGAACCGGGGGAACUGAAACAUCUAAGUACCCCGAGGAAAAGAAAUCAACCGAGAUUCCCCCAGUAGCGGCGAGCGAACGGGGAGGAGCCCAGAGCCUGAAUCAGCAUGUGUGUUAGUGGAAGCGUCUGGAAAGACGCGCGAUACAGGGUGACAGCCCCGUACACAAAAGCGUAUGUGCUGUGAGCUCGAUGAGUAGGGCGGGACACGUGGUAUCCUGUCUGAAUAUGGGGGGACCAUCCUCCAAGGCUAAAUACUCCUGACUGACCGAUAGUGAACCAGUACCGUGAGGGAAAGGCGAAAAGAACCCCGGCGAGGGGAGUGAAAAAGAACCUGAAACCGUGUACGUACAAGCAGUGGGAGCACAGGUUUACCUGUGUGACUGCGUACCUUUUGUAUAAUGGGUCAGCGACUUAUAUUCUGUAGCAAGGUUAACCGAAUAGGGGAGCCGGAGGGAAACCGAGUCUUAAUUGGGCGUUAAGUUGCAGGGUAUAGACCCGAAACCCGGUGAUCUAGCCAUGGGCAGGUUGAAGGUUGGGUAACACUAACUGGAGGACCGAACCGACUAAUGUUGAAAAAUUAGCGGAUGACCUGUGGCUGGGGGUGAAAGGCCAAUCAAACCGGGAGAUAGCUGGUUCUCCCCGAAAGCUAUUUAGGUAGCGCCUCGUGAAUUCAUCUCCGGGGGUAGAGCACUGUUUCGGCUAGGGGGUCAUCCCGACUUACCAACCCGAUGCAAACUGCGAAUACCGGAGAAUGUUAUCACGGGAGACACACGGCGGGUGCUAACGUCCGUCGUGAAGAGGGAAACAACCCAGACCGCCAGCUAAGGUCCCAAAGUCAUGGUUAAGUGGGAAACGAUGUGGGAAGGCCCAGACAGCCAGGAUGUUGGCUUAGAAGCAGCCAUCAUUUAAAGAAAGCGUAAUAGCUCACUGGUCGAGUCGGCCUGCGCGGAAGAUGUAACGGGGCUAAACCAUGCACCGAAGCUGCGGCAGCGACACUCAGGUGUUGUUGGGUAGGGAGCGUUCUGUAAGCCUGCGAAGGUGGCCUGUGAGGGUUGCUGGAGGUAUCAGAAGUGCGAAUGCUGACAUAAGUAACGAU